CUACGGGUUGCUGCAGUGGGGAAUAUUGCACAAUGGGGGGAACCCUGAUGCAGCAACGCCGCGUGGAGGAUGACACAUUUCGGUGCGUAAACUCCUUUUAUAUAAGAAGAUAAUGACGGUAUUAUAUGAAUAAGCACCGGCUAACUCCGUGCCAGCAGCCGCGGUAAUACGGGGGGUGCAAGCGUUACUCGGAAUCACUGGGCGUAAAGAGCAUGUAGGCUGGUUAGUAAGUUGGAAGUGAAAUCCUAUGGCUUAACCAUAGAACUGCUUCCAAAACUACUAACCUAGAAUAUGGGAGAGGUAGAUGGAAUUUCUGGUGUAGGGGUAAAAUCCGUAGAGAUCAGAAGGAAUACCGAUUGCGAAGGCGAUCUACUGGAACAUUAUUGACGCUCAGAUGCGAAAGCGUGGGGAGCAAACAGGAUUAGAUACCCCUGUAGUC
rnacentral:rRNA from 1 species